UUUUUUUGAGAAUUUGAUCCUGGUUCAGGAUGAACGCAGGGGGCGUUCCUUAGGCAUGCAAGUCGAACGGGGUCCGUAAGGACCAAGUGGCAGACGGGUGAGUAA
rnacentral:rRNA from 1 species